GUCGAGGAUCUUCGGCAAUGGGCGCAAGCCUGACCGAGCGACGCCGCGUGUGCGAUGAAGGCCUUCGGGUUGUAAAGCACUGUCGAGGGGGAGAAAGCCGCAAGGUUGAUCGACCCCUGGAGGAAGCACGGGCUAAGUUCGUGCCAGCAGCCGCGGUAAGACGAACCGUGCGAACGUUGUUCGGAUUCACUGGGCUUAAAGGGCGCGUAGGCGGGUCAUCAAGUCCGGGGUGAAAUCCUCCAGCUUAACUGGAGAAUAGCCUUGGAUACUGGUGGUCUCGAGGGAGGUAGGGGCGGGUGGAACUUCCGGUGGAGCGGUGAAAUGCGUAGAUAUCGGAAGGAACGCCGGUGGCGAAAGCGACCCGCUGGACCUCUUCUGACGCUGAGGCGCGAAAGCCAGGGGAGCAAACGGGAUUAGAAACCCCAGUAGUCC
rnacentral:rRNA from 1 species